rnacentral:siRNA from 1 species
UGGGCCUUGGUAAGUGUUAUUCA